rnacentral:rRNA from 1 species
GAUGAACGCUGGCGGCGUGCCUAAUACAUGCAAGUCGAGCGAACGGAUAAGAAGCUUGCUCCUCUGAUGUUAGCGGCGGACGGGUGAGUAACACGUGGGUAACCUACCUAUAAGACUGGGAUAACUUCGGGAAACCGGAGCUAAUACCGGAUAAUAUUUUGAACCGCAUGGUUCAAUAGUGAAAGAUGGUUUUGCUAUCACUUAUAGAUGGAUCCGCGCCGUAUUAGCUAGUUGGUAAGGUAACGGCUUACCAAGGCAACGAUACGUAGCCGACCUGAGAGGGUGAUCGGCCACACUGGAACUGAGACACGGUCCAGACUCCUACGGGAGGCAGCAGUAGGGAAUCUUCCGCAAUGGGCGAAAGCCUGACGGAGCAACGCCGCGUGAGUGAUGAAGGUCUUCGGAUCGUAAAACUCUGUUAUUAGGGAAGAACAUACGUGUAAGUAACUGUGCACAUCUUGACGGUACCUAAUCAGAAAGCCACGGCUAACUACGUG